rnacentral:rRNA from 1 species
GCGGACGGCGCUGAAGCCAGUCGAAGAUACCAGCUGGCUGCAACUGUUUAUUAAAAACACAGCACUGUGCAAACACGAAAGUGGACGUAUACGGUGUGACGCCUGCCCGGUGCUGGAAGGUUAAUUGAUGGGGUUAGCGCAAGCGAAGCUCCUGAUCGAAGCCCCAGUAAACGGCGGCCGUAACUAUAACGGUCCUAAGGUAGCGAAAUUCCUUGUCGGGUAAGUUCCGACCUGCACGAAUGGCGUAAUGAUGGCCAGGCUGUCUCCACCCGAGACUCAGUGAAAUUGAACUCGCUGUGAAGAUGCAGUGUACCCGCGGCAAGACGGAAAGACCCCGUGAACCUUUACUAUAGCUUGACACUGAACAUUGAGCCUUGAUGUGUAGGAUAGGUGGGAGGCUUUGAAGUGUGGACGCCAGUCUGCAUGGAGCCAACCUUGAAAUACCACCCUUUAACGUUUGAUGUUCUAACCUAGGCCCAUAAACUGGGUCGGGGACCGUGUCUGGUGGGUAGUUUGACUGGGGCGGUCUCCUCCUAAAGAGUAACGGAGGAGCACGAAGGUUGGCUAAGCAUGGUCGGACAUCAUGCGGUUAGUGCAAAGGCAUAAGCCAGCUUGACUGCGAGAGUGACGGCUCGAGCAGGUACGAAAGUAGGUCUUAGUGAUCCGGUGGUUCUGAAUGGAAGGGCCAUCGCUCAACGGAUAAAAGGUACUCCGGGGAUAACAGGCUGAUACCGCCCAAGAGUUCAUAUCGACGGCGGUGUUUGGCACCUCGAUGUCGGCUCAUCACAUCCUGGGGCUGAAGUAGGUCCCAAGGGUAUGGCUGUUCGCCAUUUAAAGUGGUACGCGAGCUGGGUUUAGAACGUCGUGAGACAGUUCGGUCCCUAUCUGCCGUGGGCGUUGGAAGAUUGAGAGGGGUUGCUCCUAGUACGAGAGGACCGGAGUGAACGCACCACUGGUGUUCGGGUUGUCAUGCCAAUGGCAUUGCCCGGUAGCUAAGUGCGGAAGAGAUAACCGCUGAAAGCAUCUAAGCGGGAAACUUGCCUCGAGAUGAGUCUUCCCUGUCGCUUUAAGCGACCUAAAGGAACGUUUAAGACUAAGACGUUGAUAGGCUGGGUGUGUAAGCGUAGCGAUACGUUGAGCUAACCAGUACUAAUGAACCGUGAGGCUUAACCUGACAACACCGAAAGUGUUUUG